rnacentral:rRNA from 1 species
ACGGGAGGCAGCAGUGGGGAAUAUUGGACAAUGGGGGAAACCCUGAUCCAGCGACGCCGCGUGAGUGAAGAAGUAUUUCGGUAUGUAAAGCUCUAUCAGCAAGGAAGAAAAUGACGGUACUUGACUAAGAAGCUCCGGCUAAAUACGUGCCAGCAGCCGCGGUAAUACGUAUGGAGCAAGCGUUAUCCGGAUUUACUGGGUGUAAAGGGAGCGUAGACGGUGUGGCAAGUCUGAAGUGAAAGCCCGGGGCUCAACCCCGGGACUGCUUUGGAAACUGUCGUACUAGAGUGCAGGAGAGGUAAGUGGAAUUCCUAGUGUAGCGGUGAAAUGCGUAGAUAUUAGGAGGAACACCAGAGGCGAAGGCGGCUUACUGGACGAUAACUGACGUUGAGGCUCGAAAGCGUGGGGAGCAAACAGGAUUAGAUACCCUGGUA